CUACAUACUACACCUUUAAGGGGUAGGUUCAGGGUUAGUACCUUGUUAUUACACCCAGUUAUUGCAAUUAUUAUAAUAAGUACAUUGUAUCUACAUGGGGAACAGGACUGUAAAAUAAAGUGCUACCGAAGUGUUUUAUAAUGUCCUCUUUUUUUUCUUUUUCUUUUUUUUUUUACAAAAAGCAUUACAACAAUACCUGCACAAACACUAGCCAAACACAUGCAUUUUAAUGUACUUUACAGAAAUGUUUAAUAAUUUAAUACUCCUUUUCUUUAACAGCCAUUCCAACAACAACUGCAUGGACAGGUAUUUAUUGACUUUUGAAUUAAUAGUGCAUUCACGUCAGAAUCACAGUAAUGCACUAUAAAAACUGCUCACAUCUUCAUUUGUAUUUGCUGUUUAUUCUCUCGGCAGCACCAGCAAUAUUCUACCCAUUCGGCUCAGCAGCAGGAGACACAGAACAUUUUGAAAAUUACGUUGAAAGCUACGAUUAUGUUGCGUUCUCCACUCCGUUUAUGUUUUUUGGCCGUGCAUACAACAACACAUACGUUAAUAAUAACGGACUCCUUACAUUCAUCCAACCUUUACCAGAAGCUCACCCUUACCCUUUUCCCACACAUGGAGCUGAAGAUUACAUUGCUGCGCUCUGGACUGAGCUUGAUGACAUUGGGAUGGGUAUAUACUCGUAUCAGCAGUACACAAGUGGAAGUGUGCUCACUCGCGCCACUCAGGAUAUAAACCUGUAUUUCCCUCAUAUUGGCUUCACUGCUUCUUGGGUCUUUGUUGUAACAUGGGACUAUGUUCAGACACGGGAUAUAAAUGUAUUUAAUCUACACUCAGCACCGGUAAAUAGUUUUUCUUUAUCAGGCACAAGGUCAAAGACUGUGUAGACUAUGAAUAAUGAUGUUUUUUUGUUUUUUUUUCAGGCAAUCACCUUUCAAGUGGUUUUAAUUUCAGGUGGUGGUUUUUCUUUCUUUCUGAUGAAUUAUGGUGACUGUGCUGAGACAUACUUUCCAGUGGAGGCUGGAUAUGACACAGUAAACUCCACUGACUACUAUGUCAUUCAUUAUGGAUAUGAUGGCAACUACAUCCCAAACCUCAAGAGCAUGAGUAACGUAAAUGUUCCGGGUCGUUGGGCCUUUCUUGUGAACAACGGAACAGGAACAGGUAGGACUUUCAUCAAAAUGAUGUGAUACUAUUAUCAGUUUAUAUAUAUAUAUAUAUACUGUGUGUGUAUGUAUUGCAUGGUCCAAUUUCGUGUUUAGUUUUCACCAAAUGUGGUGCUGUGCAUUAUGGCCACACCAGAGAAAAAGCUUUUUCCUGGCAACCCUUCCAAAAAUGCCAUACUUUCCCCAUCUUAUUGUAAUUGA